ACACCCAGCCGGCCGCUCCCAGGGACAGGUUGGCGAGCGGCGACUCCCCAGAGCCCCGUGUGAGGUGCAGCCUGAAGCCGCCCGACAGCGCCGUGUGUAGGAGGAGAGCGAGCAGGAGCCGCCAGCGAAGCGACAUGGUGCGUCCGUCGUUCUGUGCGUAGGAUCAGCGCCAGGAGCCGCCAGCUGAAGGUGCACAGUUACACCAGGCGAAAACCUGCAAGGACUUCGUCAAAGAACAGUUGCAUAGCGGGACCCGCACACAGGGAUGCCAAUAACUCCACCGCCACCAAAUGGAUUAAAAAGACAACACAGUCGCCAUGUGACCCACUAUCCAACCUCGGGGAAUUAUUAACUAAAAAGUUGAUUUGACCAAGA